rnacentral:rRNA from 1 species
GUUGCCAGCAUUCAGUUGGGCGACUCUAGAGGGACUGCCGGUGUCAAACCGGAGGAAGGUGGGGAUGACGUCAAGUCCUCAUGGCCUUUAUGUCUAGGGCUACACACGUACUACAAUGGCCGGUACAAAGGGCAGCCACUCAGCGAUGAGGCGCUAAUCCCAUAAAGCCGGUCUCAGUCCGGAUCGCAGUCUGCAACUCGACUGCGUGAAGUUGGAAUCGCUAGUAAUCGUAGAUCAGCAUGCUACGGUGAAUACGUUCCCGGGCCUU